rnacentral:lncRNA from 1 species
AUGCAAGGGGGUGGGGAGGUGGACUUGGUGUUAAAGAGAAAACCACACUGUCGACAAGAGCCAGACUUCAAAAGCAUCUAAAGAAACAAAGACAAAGCUGCCAUCAUCAUUUGUUAGUAGACAGUUGUCAUGGAGUGGGGAUUGACUCACUUUAAGCAAAGGAGAAUUCUAGGACAGGAGGAGCAAAUUCAGCUACCUUGAGGAGCCAGGCAGGGAAUGCAUCCAGCAUUGUUUAAAGAGGGAGGCAACAGCCAAGAAGAGCUAUGUGAGGCCUCUCUUGGCCCUCCAGUUCUUCAUUAGGGAGCAAAGAAAGGAGGACUUUGCCAAGAGCAAACCUGAAACAUUCCUUUGGGUUCAGUUCAAUCGCCUGCAAGUCACGUUUCCACACAAACAUGUCCCCAGGACUGAGGAUGCAAGGCACUGUUCAAGGCGUCUCUUGGAUGAAGACAUGGCAAAAGCUACCACCACCAUGCAGCUCUGUGAUGCUUCUACUAGUGUCUUCCAUUGGCUGAACUCAGCUGAACACUACAGGGUAAAGAAGCCCAGAUGAUGCUGUCUGUUGAAGUCAGUUUCUUGAAGCACAAAGCAGGUAAGGGGAAAGGUGAAAAGUGGAUCUGGAGGAACAAACAGGAUAUACCCUGCAAAAUCAUUGAUAUUACUAUUUCUAAAAUAGAAAAAAUACACAAAUUUAAAAAGUGAUGGCAUUUGAAACUUACUUCUGUCAUCAAAUGUGAUAAAAAUAAUUCCCAUCUAAUAAAAUUAUUGGGUAACCUUGAAAAUCAAC